rnacentral:rRNA from 1 species
AUUGAACGCUGGCGGCAGGCCUAACACAUGCAAGUCGAGCGAGCGGCGGAAGGGUGAGUAAUGUAUGGGGACUGCCCGAAAGAGGGGGAUAACUACAGGAAACGGUGGCUAAUACCGCAUACUAUCGGAUAACCCAUAUGGGAUUAGCUAGUAGGGGGGGUAAAGGCUCACCUAGGCGACGAUCUCUAGCUGGUCUGAGAGGAUGAUCAGCCGAACUGGGACUGAGACACGGCCCAGACUCCUACGGAGGCAGCAGUAGGGAAUAUUGAACAAUGGGCGCAAGCCUGAUGCAGACAUGCCGCGUGUAUGAAGCAGGCCUUAGGGUUGUAAAGUACUUUCAGCGGGGAGGCGUUACCCGCAGAAGAAGCACCGGCUAACUCCGUGCCAGCCGCCGCGGUAAUUC